UGAUCCAGAGUACCACGGGACACGUGAAACCCUGUGGGAAGCAGGAGGGACCACCCUCCAAGGCUAAAUACUACCUAGUGACCGAUAGCGUAUAGUACCGUGAGGGAAAGGUGAAAAGAACCCCGGGAGGGGAGUGAAAUAGAACCUGAAACCCUGCACUUACAAGCUGUGGAAGCACAUUUCUUGUGUGACCGCGUACUUUUUGUAGAACGGGCCAACGAGUUACGUUAAGUAGCAAGGUUAAGCACUUAAGGUGCGGAGCCGUAGCGAAAGCGAGUUUUAACUGAGCGUUCAGUUACUUGACGUAGACCCGAAACCGGGCGACCUACCCAUGAGCAGGAUGAAGCGAAAGUAAAAUUUCGUGGAGGUCCGAACCCACGAGCGUUGAAAAGCUCGGGGAUGACUUGUGGGUAGCGGUGAAAUUCCAAUCGAGCCCGGAGAUAGCUGGUUCUCCCCGAAAUAGCUUUAGGGCUAGCCUCAAGGUGAGAGAUACGGAGGUAGAGCACUGAAUGUCCUAGGGGGUAUUGCACCUACCGAAGACUAUCAAACUCCGAAUGCCGUCAUCUUAUACUUGGGAGUCAGACUGUGGGUGAUAAGAUUCAUAGUCGAAAGGGCAACAGCCCAGAUCGUCAGCUAAGGUCCCUAAAUGUAAGUUAAGUGGUAAAGGAUGUGGGAUUGCACAGACAACCAGGAUGUUGGCUUAGAAGCAGCCACUCAUUCAAAGAGUGCGUAAUAGCUCACUGGUCGAGUGAUCCUGCGCCGAAGAUUUCCGGGGCUAAAACUUACUACCGAAGCUACGGCAUCAGUAAUGAUGGGUAGGGGAGCUUCCCAUACGGGUUGAAGCAUGACCGUAAGGACAUGUGGACAGUAUGGGAGUGAGAAUGUUGGCAUGAGUAGCGAGAUGUGGGUGAGAAUCCCACAGGCCGUAA
rnacentral:rRNA from 1 species